AGGAGCCUAAACCUAUAAAACCACAAAGUCGACGGCCUUAAAUACAGUUUCUCCUAUAAAUAACAAAGUCGUUACCUUCUCGUUUUCUUCAUUGCCUGAAAAAUCACACUGAACAACAACAGCGCAGAAGUGUAAGAAACAGACCCACUAAUCAAAUGCCACUCUUCUCUCACCGCCACUCUUCUUCUUCUUCACUUCCAACCUCGAAUUUCAAAACUUUCAAACCCCAGAAACCCAGUUUUAAUUCUCAGUCUUCUCGUUAUCCUUUACACUUCCUCAUCUUCUCAAUUUUUUCUCUACUCAUCGGCAUUUCUGGCACUAUUUUUGCUAUCUCCGCAAUCCGCCGAUCCCGGACAUUACCCAUUUUUCGUUGCGGUAGAUCCGAAGAUACUUUCCGGGCAUUUUACUCUACCUCAGGUUCUCAUCGGAUUGGAGAUAACAAUAAUAAUAAUGAUAGGCCUAAGUUUCUUGGGUUCGUCGGAAUUCAAACUGGGUUUGACUCCAGUGACCGAAGAGCUGCCCUUAGAAGCACUUGGUUCCCUUCUGACCCUUAUGGGCUUUUGAGGUUAGAGCAAGCUACUGGUUUAGCAUUUAGAUUUGUGAUAGGGAGAUCAAAAGAUGCAAAGAAGAUGGCACAGCUUGAAAAAGAGAUUGAGAAAUACAGAGAUUUUAUGUUGAUAGAUGUCGAGGAAGAAUAUCUAAGGCUUCCUUACAAAACAUUGGCGUAUUUCAAGGCCGCAUAUAAGUUUUUUGAAGCAGAUUAUUAUGUCAAAGCUGAUGAUGACAUCUAUUUGCGUCCAGAUCGACUUGCAACCCUUCUUGCUAAGGAAAGAACUCAUUCAUUUACUUAUAUUGGAUGCAUGAAGAAAGGACCAGUGAUCACUGACCCAAAAUUGAAGUGGUACGAGAAAUCUGGAGAUCUGAUUGGAAGUGAAUACUUCUUGCAUGCUUAUGGACCUAUAUAUGUUCUUUCUGCAGAUGUUGUGGCUUCACUAGCAGCUUCAAGAAAUAAUAGCUUUCAGUUUGAGGAUGUUCAACAAUGAGGAUGUCACAAUUGGUUCAUGGAUGCUUGCUAUGAAUGUACACCAUGAAGAUAACCGUGCAAUAUGUGACCCACGAUGCACACCGACAUCUAUAGCAGUUUGGGAUAUUCCUAAAUGUUCAGGUUUAUGCAAUCCUUCUAUCCGGAUGAAGGAGCUUCACAAGAUUGAUAUGUGCUCCAAGAGCCCCACGUUGCCAGCUGAGGAUAGAUAGUCUCAAUUUCGGCUGCACCUUGCAUUUUCCAUUAUAUAUUGACACUGCAAGACAGCUAUUCUGCUGUUAGAUCCUUGGUUUCAUGGUAAAUCAUCUGCUUUUUGAACUUGAAGAAUGGCAAUCUGGCUUUUUUUGAUAAUGGAUGUCUAAUUGUAGUGUCCUAUACUUGCACUUGAUUAUAUUCAAGUGUUUAGAUAUGUCUGUCAGAAACUGAACAUCAGAUAUCAAACAUCCGUGGGGCCAUUUUGAUCACGAGGGAAGCGAUUCCAAGUGUGAUACAGUGCGUCUACUAGAGCUACCUGAUUACUGUCUUGAGAUCUGCAGAUGGCAACAUGAUCAGAAUUCCUAUGCCUAUGGUGCAUGAUUUCUAAUUGUAAUUUAUUUUUUCUUUUUUUCUUUUUCUUUUUAAUGGCGCAUUUGGAUCUCCACAGAAUUGGAAUCAUCUGAUUUCAUAUCCAAGUAUUUCCUGCAAUGACCUUGUCUUGUUUAUCAACGCAAAGCGGAAAUGAAUAUUUUUCUUGGACUGCAUUA